rnacentral:tRNA from 1 species
GCCGGAGUGGCGGAAUUGGCAGACGCGCACGGUUCAGGUCCGUGUGGUAGCAAUACCUUGUGGGUUCGACUCCCAUCUUCUGCA